rnacentral:rRNA from 1 species
CGCGUGGGUGAAGAAGGCCUUCGGGUUGUAAAGCCCUUUUGUUGGGAAAGAAAUCCAGCUGGCUAAUACCCGGUUGGGAUGACGGUACCCAAAGAAUAAGCACCGGCUAACUUCGUGCCAGCAGCCGCGGUAAUACGAAGGGUGCAAGCGUUACUCGGAAUUACUGGGCGUAAAGCGUGCGUAGGUGGUCGUUUAAGUCCGUUGUGAAAGCCCUGGGCUCAACCUGGGAACUGCAGUGGAUACUGGGCGACUAGAGUGUGGUAGAGGGUAGCGGAAUUCCUGGUGUAGCAGUGAAAUGCGUAGAGAUCAGGAGGAACAUCCAUGGCGAAGGCAGCUACCUGGACCAACACUG